UCUGAUGGCGAUAGCGAAGAGGUCACACCCGUUCCCAUACCGAACACGGAAGUUAAGCUCUUUAGCGCCAAUGGUAGUUGGGACUUUGUCCCUGUGAGAGUAGGACGUUGCCAGGC
rnacentral:rRNA from 1 species